UACAGAGGUCUCAAGCGUUUGUUCGGAUUCAUUGGGCGUAAAGGGCGCGUAGGCGGCGAGGUAAGUCGGGUGUGAAAUCUCAGAGCUCAACUCUGAAACUGCACUCGAUACUGCUUUGCUAGAGGACUGGAGAGGAGAUUGGAAUUCACGGUGUAGCAGUGAAAUGCGUAGAGAUCGUGAGGAAGACCAGUGGCGAAGGCGGAUCUCUGGACAGUUCCUGACACUGAGACACGAAGGCCAGGGGAGCAAACGGG
rnacentral:rRNA from 1 species